CUACUACUUCCUCCGUCCGAAAAUACUUGUCCUAACAAUGAAUAUAUUUGAUGUAUCUAUAAUUGAAAUAAGUCUAGAUUCAUUCAUUCAGACAAGUAUUUUCGAUCGGAGGAAGUACAAU
rfam:Hordeum vulgare subsp. vulgare, WGS project CAJW01000000 data, contig: morex_contig_49960